AUUGAACGCUGGCGGCAGGCCUAACACAUGCAAGUCGAGCGGAUGAAGGGAGCUUGCUCCUGGAUUCAGCGGCGGACGGGUGAGUAAUGCCUAGGAAUCUGCCUGGUAGUGGGGGAUAACGUCCGGAAACGGGCGCUAAUACCGCAUACGUCCUGAGGGAGAAAGUGGGGGAUCUUCGGACCUCACGCUAUCAGAUGAGCCUAGGUCGGAUUAGCUAGUUGGUGGGGUAAAGGCCUACCAAGGCGACGAUCCGUAACUGGUCUGAGAGGAUGAUCAGUCACACUGGAACUGAGACACGGUCCAGACUCCUACGGGAGGCAGCAGUGGGGAAAAUUGGACAAUGGGCGAAAGCCUGAUCCAGCCAUGCCGCGUGUGUGAAGAAGGUCUUCGGAUUGUAAAGCACUUUAAGCUGGGAGGAAGGGCAGUAAGUUAAUACCUUGCUGUUUUGACGUUACCAACAGAAUAAGCACCGGCUAACUUCGUG
rnacentral:rRNA from 1 species